rnacentral:rRNA from 1 species
CUACGGGACGCUGCAGUGGGGAAUAUUGCACAAUGGAGGAAACUCUGAUGCAGCAACGCCGCGCGGAGGAUGACACUUUUCGGAGCGUAAACUCCUUUUAUAUAGGAAGAAGAUGACGGUACUAUAUGAAUAAGCGCCGGCUAACUCCGUGCCAGCAGCCGCGGUAAUACGGAGGGCGCAAGCGUUACUCGGAAUCACUGGGCAUAAAGAGCGUGUAGGCGGAUUAAAAAGUCAGAAGUGAAAUCCUAUAGCUUAACUAUAGAACUGCUUCUGAAACUCUUAAUCUAGAAUAUGGGAGAGGUAGAUGGAAUUUCUGGUGUAGGGGUAAAAUCCGUGGAGAUCAGAAGGAAUACCGAUUGCGAAGGCGAUCUACUAGAACAUUAUUGACGCUGAGACGCGAAAGCGUGGGGAGCAAACAGGAUUAGAUACCCGCGUAGUC